rnacentral:rRNA from 1 species
AUGCAGCGACGCCGCGUGGGGGACGACGGUCUUCGGAUUGUAAACCCCUUUUGGGUGGGAAGAGAAUGGACGGUACCACCCGAAGAAGCCCCGGCUAACUACGUGC